ACAUACGACCAUACCCAUCGGAAAACUCGGGAUCCCGUCCGCUCUCCCAUAGAUAAGCUGAUGAGGGACAGAGUAGUAGUCGGGUCGGUGACGACCGGCGAAUGCCUGUUGUUGUAUGUU
rfam:Colletotrichum gloeosporioides Cg-14 contig04336, whole genome shotgun sequence.